AUUGAACGCUGGCGGCAGGCCUAACACAUGCAAGUCGAGCGAGCGGAGGACGGGUGAGUAAUGUCUGGUAAACUGCCGGAUGGAGUGGGAUAACUACUGGAAAAGGUAGCUAAUACCGCAUUCCAUCAGAUGUGCCCAGAUGGGAUUAGAUAGUAGGUGGGGUAACGGCCCACCUAGGCGACGAUCCCUAGCUGGUCUGAGAGGAUGAACAGCCACACUGGAACUGAGACACGGCCCAGACUCCUACGGGAGGCAGCAGUGGGGAAUAGUGCGCAAUGGGCGCAAGGCUGAUGCUGCCAUGCCGGGUGUGUGAAGAAGGACCGCGGGAUGUAAAGCACUUUCAGCGGGGAGGCGUUGCACGCAGAAGAAGCACCGGCUAACUCCGUGCAAGCAGCCGCGGUAAUAC
rnacentral:rRNA from 1 species